UCAUGCCUCAAAAUUAAAGCAAUUCUUGAUUAUUCUAAUUAAAAGAAUAAUUAUUAUUCUUAGACUUGUAUCUUAAAAACUUUUGGUGAAUACUGGCCCAGGUCUUGGGCUUUUGAUUUAGGGCUAGAGGAAACUUGUAAAUACUAGUCCAAGUGGGAAAGUUUUCAGCAAAUAUUCAGGACACAAUCAAUAAUGAUCAUUGAUGUAAGGAAUAAUACUAUUAAGGAGCGAAUUGUAGUGUCAGUCACCAAACAGAAAUGACAUUUGCAUACACACAGAAUCCAUUGAUACCUAGUUUCUGGUUAAACAACAUAAUUCAGUGGUUUAUAGCCUUUUCAACGUGCUUAAUGACAAGACCUCAGCUAGUUUAAGAGCUUUUGGUGAAAAGCAACAAGCUUUAAUAGACAAAGGUGUAGAAAAAAAUAAGGUGCAGACAUGCAUGAAGUCGGCAAACAUUCAGUAAUCUGCUUGAUUCUUUUUAUACGCCCGUCUAUGACGGGACGUAUUAUGGUAUACCCCGCGUCCGUCUGUCCGUCCGUCCGUCUGUCCGUCCGUAUGUCUGUUAAUGUCGUACGCUACGUCAAAUAUCCUUCGAUGGAUUUUUUUCAAAUUUCAACACAAUCUUAAUAUUGAUAAACCCUGAUCCCCUUUCGUUUUUGACGGAAUUCUGAAUUGUCGUUCCAGAGUUAUGGGACUUUGUUCGUCAAAAUUUCGUUAUUUCAUUGAAUGUCCUACUGUAGCUAUAUAAAAAUGUUAAAGUUGUUAUAACUUUGGUAUGCUUGGACCUAGAGUCUUGAAACUUGACAUGAAGGUUGGCCAGAACUAGUAAGUAACCCCUGGACAUUUCAAGGUCAUUCAUUUGAAGGUCAAGGUCACUGUGACCUUGAAUGUAAAAAUGUUAAAGUUCUUAUUUCAUGUUAUAACUUUGGUAUGCUUGUACCUAGAGUCUUCAAACUUGAAAUAAAGAUUGGCCAGUACUAGAAGAUGACCACUGGUCAUUUCAAUGUCAUUCAUUUGAAGGUCAAGGUCACUGUGACCUUAAAUGUUAUUGUUGUUCAUGUAUCCUACCGUAGCUCAAAUAUCCCCCGAUGGAUUUUUUAUACGCCCGUCUAUGACGGGACGUAUUAUGGUAUACCCCGCGUCCGUCUCUCCGUCCGUCCGUCCGUCCGUCCGUCCGUCCGUCUGUUAAUGUCGUACGCUACGUCAAAUAUCCUUUGACAGAUUUUCUUCAAAUUUUAACACAAUCUUAAUAUUGAUAAACCCUGAUCCCCUUUCGUUUUUGACGGAAUUCUGAAUUGUCGUUCCAGAGUUAUGGGACUUUGUUCGUCAAAAUUUCGUGAUUUCAUUGAAUGUCCUACUGUAGCUCAAAUAUCCUUCGAUGGAUUUUUUUCAAAUUUCAACACAAUCUUAAUAUUGAUAAACCCUGAUCCCCUUUCGUUUUUGACGGAAUUCUGAAUUGUCGUUCCAGAGUUAUGGGACUUUGUUCGUCAAAAUUUCGUGAUUUCCAUGCUCAUGUACUUAUAAAAUAAACCAUGUAUUCAAAUACAAAUAAACUGAAGUAAAAAAAUGA